GGAGAGGUGCGUGAGCGGUUGAAACGAACGCUCUCGAAAAGCGUCAGGCGGGCAACCGCCUCGUGGGUUCGAAUCCCACCCUCUCCGCCA
rnacentral:tRNA from 1 species